UACGUAGGGGCCUAGCGUUGUCCGGAUUUAUUGGGCGUAAAGAGCUCGUAGGCGGUUCGGCAAGUCGGGAUGUGAAAUCUCCACGCUCAACGUGGAGGGGCCAUUCGAAACUGCCGUGACUCGAGUCCGGUAGGGGAGUGUGGAAUUCCCGGGUGUAGCGGUGAAAUGCGCAGAGUAUCGGGAGGAACACCAGUAGCGAAGGCGGCACUCCUGGGCCGGUACUGGACGCUGAGGAGCG
rnacentral:rRNA from 1 species